UUUGAGGAUCGUAAUGUGGAAAAACUGAGACAUAUUGUUGAAAUUGCGCUUAUUUAUUAUAAGAUUCAGGCUGUUGCAUCUGUUUUAUAUCACCAUGAACAGAGAAUAAUUUGUAGGUUGUUAUUUAUUAGUUAUUACGCGGCGGUUUUUACUGGUCUGACCGACUUGUGAUCAAACUGGGCUGUGUAUGUCCCAUGAACCUGUCUGACAGACUUCUUUAAAAAGGAUUACAAUAUUCAACAUGUAUCAACACUCCAUCGACAGUUUGUGUAAAUAUGACAAUGCCAUUUGUUUAUUUUUCUUUUAAUAUACAGUCAACAUUACAAGAGCAGCACAUCUUUACAAUAAAAUAACUACAAAAUAAAAAUAACAAUAUUCUAACGUAGCCAAAUUCAGUUCUUUAGUAGAUAUUUUCAAUACUGUUAAAGUGUCAGAUAAACAUGUCUCAUGAAUGGGACUGAUGUAUAUAUUCAUAUAUAUAUUUAUUUAUUAUUUAAUAUAUUUUAUUUUUCUCUGUUUGUCACCAGUCGUAAGAAAACGCACAUUAAGAGCAGAAUGUAAUGACGAAUGGGUCAUCAGUGGUUUUGGUAUGGGAUGAAAUGUUCCUGCUAAUUCAUAUUUUGACAUAUAAAAAUAAAUGAAUGAAAUAUUUCAAUAUUGAACCCAAACCUCUUUUCAAUUUUGUUUUUUAUCUUUUUCCAGCACGCCCUGAUUGGUAUUUUAUCUCCCUGUGUUUGCUGCUCUUCAUUGGACGAAUGGAAGCAUCCACCGUAACUACAGACGCCGUCCUCAGAGCCUUUCAGAGAGGUAGGAGAAGAAGAAAACAACCCUACAUCAAUACUACAGUUACUCACAGCAACUAGUGUUUAUCCCACCUAGAAAGCAACACUCUUCAAGUAAGACAAACCUUGUGUCUCAAUUCACGUAAUUGCGUACUUUUUGAGUGUUCACAUUGUCAGUUAUGGCAAAAGAAAAAUGUAAAAAGUGUACUGUGAGUACCCGAAUGGUGCGUUAACGGUCAAGAAGUUGAGUGUGGACACUUCUCACCCUCAGUGGUCGCCAUUAUGGCUACAUAGCAGACAUGGAGGGACCACUGGUGUUGUGAAAAUGCUGGCCAAGGAAACUGCUGCUGUACAAAUGUAAGGUAUGUAUGUAUGUUUUAUGUAUAUAUAUAUAUUGGCAGUCGAAUGUUGGCGCCUAUGCUCCCAAGAAGCACUAAAAUGUUUAGUGCAGCUUUAAGUUGAAAUUCAGCGUCAAUAAAUCAGAUUUAUGUAUUUGUUAUGACUAAUAUAGAUGUUGUUCCUGUUAUUGUAAUCAUUAUUAUGAAGAAAUAGCGUCUACAAUCAUCGAAUCAUAUCGGUCAGAAGUUUCUUUAAGGGCUUGACCAGGGAUCACGGGGCCAUGAGGUUGAAUUUGGCCGACCAAAUUAGUGAAAACUAUGUCAAAUUAAAUCAAAAAAGUUAAAAAUAUGAAUUGCUGUUCAUGCUGUUUUAUUUUUUUGUGAGGUGCAAACACUUUAAAUAUGCAAGGACCCUAAUUAUUAUUUAUUUUUCAUAAUCUGAGCACAGGGAAUCAGUCAGUUAUGGGAACUUUAGCAUAUUUAUAAUGGAAUAUAAUCUUUUUUUUUUUCUCCUGUGUCCCAUUAUUACGUUUCAGUGCUGGCCCUCUAAAGGAAACACAUUGGGGAGUCCUGUUCUUGAUCACUUACUAGCUUUUUCGGGGCUUUCAAGCACACAACCUGCUCACUCUUAUUUCUACGUCUUAUUUAUGUCAACCUGAGCGAAGACCAUCAUCUGAUGAAGACCAUGACAAGAGCUCAUCACUGCAGGUUUGGGUUCACACGUGCACUGUGCACCAUCUCAUUACAUACAUGAAGUGUAAUGUUGUUGUAAACACACGAGCAGAAGCUUCGUGUGUUCACUUUGGUCCGUGCAUGGUCAUGAAAAGCAGCAGCAGCACAUUGACAUGACUACUUCACUACAGAACGUCAGCACCACCAGGCUAAAAUGAUUUCACUGAAGUGUUUUUAUUACAACGUGUUUUUAUACUGAUACAUGGUCUAUUCAUACUAUCAUCUAACCACAGAUGCGACACUAACCAAUCAUGUUCGUCAACCGGUGUGUGGAAGAGUUGUGUAUGCGUGUGGACUUCAGAUUUGAGGUGGACCUGAGAACGCUGUUUUGAGUUUGACAGCUGCAUCGAACGCUCUGAACUCGGGUCUGGAAAAAAGACGCAGACGCUUUAUUUAAACAUAUUCAACAAUAAUUUCCAGGACAUUUUUUCUGGUAAGAAUAAUAUAAAUUUGGUUCUCUCAGUUUGUACACUUCAAACGAAUUAACUGCGAUUAACUGCUUAUGUAAUCCAGCCUUUCAUUCAAUUUGCAAUUAUGUGACCUUCGUCUACAUCGCCCAAUAAUCACUGAUGUUUAUCUUGUCUACUUUCCCUUGAAUUAGUGCCAAAUAAAAUGAGACUUUCCUGGAAAUUAGUAGAAAAAUUACAGACCCAUGGAACAAAAACCCUCUUUGUGUGACAGCAGGAAGAUAAACCCUGACAAGCUGUCCUGCUAACAAACAAACUGGAUGGUCCCCGACGUCAUCGAUUCAAACUGCACGCUGGAAAAAAAACAAGUGGCGACGUGACGGAGCUAGUUGUCUACAGUGAUGCACAAAUAGUGGCGUUAACGGCAAAAGCACUUCAUGGAGGUGACGUGAUUUGAUUGUAGAGAGAUCGGGAUAAUCCUCUGAUGAUGGCGAUGAUGGCGGCGGCGAUGAUGAUGGUGAUGAUGAUGUUUGCUCAUUGUCUGAGAAAGCCUACAUAAACACUUGUACUUCCCUGAAUCUGGGCAGAGGAGAGCAGAUAAAUAUGACAUCUAUUUGUGUUGUCCAUGCUAAGAUUAAAAUAGUGCCAAGCGUACUCAUUCAUAUAUUUUUUUUCUUUUUUAACACUCACAAAAGACUAAGGCAAUAAAUAAUACUACUCAGAUAUGAUGAGCACUUCGUUAAUAGUUCUUCUAUCUCUAUAAAGCAGUUUGACACGUGGUGAUAUCUUCAGUGGGCUACACAGAUACCUGAGGGAGCCACAGAAUACCAGCUGAGAAAAAAACAAAAAAAA